rnacentral:ncRNA from 22 species
UUCCCAGGUCAGCCCUAGGGUUGGCGGGCCGUGGUGCUCGGGAAGCCGGUGACGGCCCCUCAGGGGGUUCAUGCCGGAGCGGCCCUCGCCACUGUGAUCGGGGAGUUCCCGUUCCGUGCCGCCGCGGGCGGCGCCACUGGUCCCUCAGGGCCGGGAAGGCAGGGACGGGCGCGUGUACCCGUAAGCCAGGAGACCGGCCACGGCAUCUCACGAAGUG